ensembl:lncRNA
GGCAAGUGUAUUUGAAAUCCAGAGUGCAUAUCUACCAGACCCCCAGCCUGAACCAGAACCAGAGGCAGAUCCUGAACCCUGUCCCCAGCCAACCCCCGCUCUAGGAUUUGACCCAUUCAAACUCUACGCAAAAAUAAAAGAGGAUCUGUACUAUGGUCGGCUGUGGAGGUCCUACCAGGGGAGGCCUCAAACCUGAAGCCCAGGACCCCUUCCAACACCAGGGACGAUUUACUCUCUUCUAGGGAGCAUUGUCCUCCACAGCAAAAUGAGGAGGAACUUACACAGAAGGAUUGCAAUAUAUUAUUUUCUGAUAGUGAGGAGAGUACAGAGGUUUCCAUGAUAUAGUUACUUACACACACUUGGAAAUGCACACGCAAAACACAUAGCACACACACAAACACACACGCACAAAUAAACAGUCAAUGGAAAAUGUAAAUGUUCCAUAGGUCUGUUAAUUUUGCUCUCUAUAAUCAUGCUCUUAGCGCCUGAUGGACAACAAUCAUUGCUAAUGCUGCUAUAUAUCCUUAAAGUACCCAGCGUCUAAGAUGUGUUAGGAGUGCAGAUGAAAUGACAGUUGGUAUAAGGCAUAACUCAUUUAAACAUGACAGAGAGUAACCCAGGUGGUUCGAAGUAUUGGUGAAUAAUAUACAGUUAACUUCAUUCUUUAAGGAUUUAUUUCACAACAGAGAUUAUUUCAAAUAUAACUAAUAUGAAUUACAUCAAAUAUAAAUAAUUUAAGAACUAUGUGCCUCUAACAUGUUUUUUCAGUGUAUUGUGAUUUUCUGUGUAUAAUACAUAAACAAGCACAAUAAUAAAUGCAUAAAACAGGCAGAAAAUACAUUUAUAUUCAUACAAAUGUAUAAUACAUCAUUUAGAAAUAGUCAUAAUAAUAAAUAAUAUAAUGAAUCCUCAUGUUAAGAUAGCCCACAAGCUCACUUGUUGAGGAAGAGGGUAAAAUAGAGCGCGGUCUGUCGCAGGAAAUACAUUUUUCAGUAUACUCAGUUUGCAUAUUUGUACUUACUCUACACUUCUGAAUUGCAAUUUACCUUUGUAGGUAUCAACUCCGGCCCAUGUAUUACAGUGUUUUACAGUGUACUGUCUCAAAGUAUAUUAGAGAAAAGUGUAUUAUUAAUUAUGUGUCAUGUACACAGUAUCAUAAGGACACUGUUUACGUGUUCUCAUUUCUGCUGGCUUUGUGUCUUGGUCUCGUGUCUGUGG